rnacentral:ncRNA from 2 species
AAGUUCUGCCCCGACGUCGGUGUGCUCCCGGUCGUCUCGUUUCUCCGGGAGCACCGCAAGAGGGAAUCCGGUGCGAGUCCGGAACUGCCCCGCAGCGGUGAUCGGGAACGACGCGACAGCAAUGCACUGGCCCCGGCCGGGAAGCAGUCGCCGGUAGGUGGCAUCGAGACAGAUGCCGUGCCCGAGAGUCCGAAGACCUGCCGCCGUUGGUCGCGUCGG